UGGGGAAUAUUGGACAAUGGGCGAAAGCCUGAUCCAGCCAUGCCGCGUGAGUGAUGAAGGCCUUAGGGUUGUAAUGCUCUUUUAGCGGGGAAGAUAAUGACGGUACCCGCAGAAUAAGCCCCGGCUAACUUCGUGCCAGCAGCCGCGGUAAUACGAAGGGGGCUAGCGUUGUUCGGAAUUACUGGGCGUAAAGCGCACGUAGGCGGAUUGGCAAGUCAGGGGUGAAAUCCCGGGGCUCAACCUCGGAACUGCCUUUGAUACUGCCAGUCUAGAGUCCGGAAGAGGUGGGUGGAAUUCCUAGUGUAGAGGUGAAAUUCGCAGAUAUUAGGAAGAACACCGGUGGCGAAGGCGGCCCACUGGUCCGGAACUGACGCUGAGGUGCGAAAGCGUGGGGAGCAAACAGG
rnacentral:rRNA from 1 species